rnacentral:lncRNA from 10 species
CAAAGUGCUGGGAUUACAAGCGUGAGCCACCGCGCCCGGCCAGUCAACUGUAUUUUUAAAAAGAGCUCAUUCUAAGGAUUAUGGAGAUAAACCAUGGAAAGGGGUUUCCAGGAGAUGCUGCAAUUGCUGGUCCAGGAAACAUGCUUUAAGAACUGCUGACCUAGGAUGUUGCGGUGCAUUUUCCCAUAAGUAACAAAUACCUAGCAAACAAUACCACUGAAAAUAUUGAAAAUACACUACAUUUACCUCGUUAAGUUCUUUCAUUAUGCUUUUCUCAAGUUUUAUCUCCAUUUCCAGUAAAAUAAUAGCCCCAUUGAAUCAGACUGAAAGUAUUAAUAUUUUAGUUAAUCUUCAGCGUAUUUUGUGCUAUAGCUUCCUAGCUCUGAUCAUGAGAUCAUUUUCAGUUGAGUCCAUGACUGAGAGUAUUUGUCCCAAUACUUACUGCUAUUUGAACAUGAUGAGUCUGUAGAUAGUACUUUAAUUCCUUUGUGUGUCUUUUUUUAAUUAAAAAGGAAAAUCAUAAAUACCCAGACUUUUUCAAAAAUUCAAAUAUUCUCCAAAAGAGGUGAUUUAAACCAGAAGAAAGGACAACGGCAGACCUCUGUUACUUAGUUUCCCACCCAUGUAUGAGGAGCACAUAUGUUGUGAAUUAAGUUAUUUUCAGAAUAUUUCACUUUUUCACACUUCAGGGAGGCCAUAUAUAUUUUAAUAAAUCUCCAGACAAACUAUGGUAAUUCUCUCUGAAGAUGAACUUACCACAGUAAUAGAAAUUAUAAAUAAAAAUUUUUUUGAUGAUGAAAGAAAAUGAUAUAUACCUGAGACUACACCAGGUGGAAUAGGAACACCUAGAAG